GACGAACGCUGGCUUUUGUGCUUAACACAUGCAAGUCGAACGGAAAGGCUCCAGCUUGCUGGAGUACUCGAGUGGCGAACGGGUGAGUAACUCGUGGGUGAUCUGCCCUGCACUUCGGGAUAAGCCUGGGAAACUGGGUCUAAUACCAGAUAGGACCGCACUUUGGUGUGUGUGGUGGAAAGGUUUUUUCUGGUGUGGGAUGAGCUCCCCGCCUAUCUGUUUGGUGGUGGGGUAAUGGCCUACCAAGACGGCCACGGGUAGCCGGCCUGAGAGGGUGGACGGUCACAUUGGGACUGAGAUACCGCCCCAACUCCUACGGGAGCAGCAGGGGGAAUUUGCCCAAUGGGAAACCCUGAUGCAGCGACCCCGCUGGGGGAUGAGGCCUUCGCUUUGUAAAUUCCUUCGCUAGGGACGAGCUUUUUGUGACGGUACCUGGAGAAGAAGCCCCCCGCUAACUACGUGCAAGCAGCCGCGGUAAUACGUAGGGUGCGAGCGUGUCCGGGAAUUACUGGGCGUAAAGGGCUCGUAGGUGGUGUGUCGCGUCGUCUGUGAAAUUCCGGGGCUUAACUCCGGGCGUGCAGGCGAUACGGGCAUGCUUGAGUGCUGUAGGGGUAGCUGGAAUGCCUGGUGUAGCGGUGAAAUGCGCAGAUAUCAGGCAGAACGCCGAUGGCGAAGGCAGGUUACUGGGCAGUUACUGACGCUGAGGAGCGAAAGCAUGGGUAGCGAACAGGAUUAGAUACCCUGGUAGUCCAUGCCGUAAACGGUGGGCGCUAGGUGUGAGGCCCUUCCACGGGUUUCGUGCCGUAGCUAACGUGUUAAGCGCCCCGCCUGGGGAGUACGGCCGCAAGGCUAAAACUCAAAGGAAUUGACGGGGGCCCGCACAAGCGGCGGAGCAUGUGGAUUAAUUCGAUGCAACGCGAAGAACCUUACCUGGGCUUGACAUGCACCAGACAGGCGUAGAGAUACGUUUUCCCUUUGUGGUUGGUGUACAGGUGGUGCAUGGUUGUCGUCAGCUCGUGUCGUGAGAUGUUGGGUUAAGUCCCGCAACGAGCGCAACCCUUGUCUUAUGUUGCCAGCAUUUGGUUGGGGACUCAUGAGAGACUGCCGGGGUUAACUCGGAGGAAGGUGGGGAUGACGUCAAAUCAUCAUGCCCCUUAUGUCCAGGGCUUCACACAUGCUACAAUGGUCGGUACAACGCGUGGCGAUACUGUGAGGUGGAGCUAAUCGCUUGAAAGCCGGUCGUAGUUCGGAUUGGGGUCUGCAACUCGACCCCAUGAAGUCGGAGUCGCUAGUAAUCGCAGAUCAGCAAUGCUGCGGUGAAUACGUUCCCGGGCCU
rnacentral:rRNA from 1 species